UACGGAGGGUGCAAGCGUUAUCCGGAUUCACUGGGCUUAAAGGGUGCGUAGGCGGGCAGGUAAGUCAGUGGUGAAAUCUCCAAGCUUAACUUGGAAACUGCCGUUGAUACUAUCUGUCUUGAAUACCGUAGAGGUGAGCGAAAUAUGUCAUGUAGCGGUGAAAUGCUUAGAUAUGACACAGAACACCGAUUGCGAAGGCAGCUCACAGAACUGUAACUAACGCUGAGGCACGAAAGCGUGGGUAUCAAACAGG
rnacentral:rRNA from 1 species